rnacentral:piRNA from 1 species
UCUGACCGUGUAGCUGUUGUGAAUGGAU